AAUAGCAAGUAAGAGGUUUUAUUAAAGUAGAAAUACCUUGGAGUUUUUAUGCUGGUUUUGAAGUCUAGAGGAAGCCUGGAAGUGGCUUAAGUGAUCCGAUAAUAGGAAAUGUGAUGGUAGCACUCUGGGGAGAGUUCCGGAUAAUGCUGGAGAGGAGAGUGGUACCAUGACCAGUGCUGGAUAUCGCCACUGGAAAUUGCUGCUUGCUUGCUUUACUGGUAAGACUCAAAUGUUAAAGUAAAAGACUGGUAACGUUAAAACCUGUAAGAUAACACCUUGUUCAAGAUGGGAGUCGUCUGUUAUUGUUGAGACAAUAGGAACAACGGGCUAAACUUCUCUGAGCUACAUCUUGCCAAAGACACAUCCCAGGAUGAUUUCGAAGUACAUUUGAGAAACAGUAUGUGUUAUAUACACCUAUUCAAUAAUGUCUAGCUGGCAUGUUAGAGGUUUUCUCUUCAGAUGGAAGAAUUCAUCUAUCACCUAAAGAGUUGUAAAUACACCGUAUUAAUCCCAAGAUCAUGAAGACUUAGAAGAACUUGAUGUUUAUCUAUGCUUCCCCACUUAUAGCAUUUUUUGAGGUGAGAAACAAGAGACCAGUAUGAUUAUCUGGGCCUCAGAGAGAAUUGUGGCAGGAAAUGCUACCACCUUAAGACGACUAUCAGAGACCUUCCAGCUCUCAGGCAAGAAGUGAGACCAGAUCAAUUAUCCUGAUUCAGCCUCAAAAAAUAAUGGACUUGAAUGGAAUUUCAAAGCCUGCUAAAGGACACUGGAAGUGAAUGAGAAGCUGAGGAGUUAGUGAACCAUUGUCAUUGUACAUUGGCCUUUCCAUGCACUAGCCAGCAAUGAACUUUCCACAGUCAGGAUUAAAGUAGACAGUUGGAGAAGACUACAUUGUCUCAAUAGCUGGUCUGGACUAUACUGUGAACUCUCUCAAAGCAAAAAAACUAGCCCAAACCUCCGACCACCAACUCAGAGUGCAAGCCGUCAGCUAACACCUUUCCUUUGCUGCGUGGGUGGACACAGGAGGGUCAUGUAACCCUUGUAGUAGUAUCUUCAGCCUUCCCUCAGCCACAUCCUCCCUUCCCACCUCAUUAUGUGAAUUGAUCAAGGAUUCACCUGCUUUCUUUUCCAAGAAAAACAUGAAAGCUAGAAUGACGUUUCAUUGGAAAUGAUGCACCUUCAUUGUCAAUAGCAAGCAAAUGAGUAGUGGAGUGAC